CACACACACACACACACACACACAACUGACGGGAUCUCUCCAGGUCUCUUCAUGCCCUUAAGAACACUAACACACACUCACACACAGACACACACACACACACACACAGUCUCUGUCUCUUUCCUCACCCAAAUAUAAAAAAACUGCUCUCAUUGAAGCUUGGCUAGUCUGUCCAAACUGCCAGAUUUCGUAGUGCAACAAAACUUUAUUUUAAUGGUCUUCUAUUAAUUCUGGAAUAAGUCUAGGUAACAGGUCUUUUUUUGCCCGAACGCCAUGCUUUUUUUUUUUUUUUUUUUUUUUUUUUUUUUUUUUUUAAACCUUUCUCUGCUAUGACUUGAGUCUUGCCCAUACCUUUUGAAAAGGAAAUAUUUGAAAACGUAAACCUUCUAGGGUGACAGCAAGAGGCUGUGAGCGAGGGAGAGAAUGCUGUGGGGGGUGGCGGGUGGCAGAGUGAAGGAGACAGGCCCAGGGUGGCAGAGUGAUUGAGACCAGCCCAGGGUGGCAGAGUGAUUGAGACCAGCCCAGGGUGGCAGGCCCAGGGUGGCAGAGUGAUGGAGACAGGCCCAGGGUGGCAGAGUGAUGGAGACAGGCCCAGGGUGGCAGAGUGAUUGAGACAGGCCCAGGGUGGCAGAGUGAUUGAGACAGGCCCAGGGUGGCGAGAGCCAGUGGUUGCUGAAGAGCAUCUGGCUCUCCGCUGGCCGAGAGGUUAAGAGAGGUUACUGGACACAGUGGGGCUCUUGGGGCGCGUCUGAGCGCUGGCAGAGAGGUUAA
ensembl:lncRNA